rnacentral:rRNA from 1 species
UUUCCUACGGGAGGCAGCAGUGGGGAAUAUUGCACAAUGGGGGAAACCCUGAUGCAGCGACGCCGCGUGAGUGAAGAAGUAUUUCGGUAUGUAAAGCUCUAUCAGCAGGGAAGAAAUACUGACCUUACGGUCAGCAGACGGUACCUGACUAAGAAGCCCCGGCUAACUACGUGCCAGCAGCCGCGGUAAUACGUAGGGGGCAAGCGUUAUCCGGAUUUACUGGGUGUAAAGGGAGCGUAGACGGAGGAGCAAGUCUGAUGUGAAAAUCCGGGGCCCAACCCCGGAACUGCAUUGGAAACUGUUUA